CGCGCAGGUGGUCUAUCAAGUCUGGUGUGAAAGCCCAGGGCUCAACCCUGGAACUGCAUUGGAAACUAGUAGACUUGAGUCCAAGAGGGGUUAGUGGAAUUCCUGGUGUAGGGGUGAAAUCCGUAGAGAUCAGGAGGAACACCAGUGGCGAAGGCGACUGACUGGAUUGGCACUGACACUGAGGCGCGAAAGUGUGGGGAGCAAACAGGAUUAGAUACCCUGGUAGUCC
rnacentral:rRNA from 1 species